GCCAGACUCCUACGGGAGGCAGCAGUGGGGAAUAUUGGGCAAUGGGCGCAAGCCUGACCCAGCAACGCCGCGUGAAGGAAGAAGGCUUUCGGGUUGUAAACUUCUUUUCUCAGGGACGAAGCAAGUGACGGUACCUGAGGAAUGAGCCACGGCUAACUACGUGCCAGCAGCCGCGGUAAUACGUAGGUGGCAAGCGUUAUCCGGAUUUACUGGGUGUAAAGGGCGUGUAGGCGGGAAAGCAAGUCAGAUGUGAAAACCAUGGGCUCAACCUGUGGCCUGCAUUUGAAACUGUUUUUCUUGAGUACUGGAGAGGUCAUCGGAAUUCCUUGUGUAGCGGUGAAAUGCGUAGAUAUAAGGAAGAACACCAGUGGCGAAGGCGGAUGACUGGACGGCAACUGACGGUGAGGCGCGAAAGCGUGGGGAGCAAACAGGAUUAGAUACCCUAGUAU
rnacentral:rRNA from 1 species